ensembl:lincRNA
GGACUGUGGAGGCUGGUGUGAGCAAUGGCAGCUGGAUUCCACCACCACCAGGAUCUGCCAAAAACCAUAGAGAAUGAACCCCAGGAUCUCCCACCUUUGGACGGGGAUAUAAGUCGCUUAUUCAUCAUCAGCUUCUCCCUGCCAAAGGCUGUGGGCUUCCCUCGGGCUUUACCGUCCAGAUCCCUGAACCUAGGGAUUCACAGUAUUCUCUUGGCCUCAGCCACAUUGACAUUCCCAAACUGCUUGCAGUCCCAGGCCAUUCUGGAAAGGGAAAAGCAAAACUUUCACAUCAUGGAAGGAAAGGUGCAAGUGGGACUGCGGGACUGUGUGCAGUGAUACAAGAGUUGAGGUACGCGGCAGGGCCGGCAGAGAAGAGGACAUGGACCAGAUACUCCUCCCAGGAGCAACUGCAUUUGCAUCUUCUCCUGAGGGCCUGGCCGUGAUGCACUGAUUGGCAGAGCAGAAAACCAGGCACUGUUUCUACCUAGCCGUUCCUGGGCACUAUUACCACCGAGGGUCUUAUUAGCUGACCCUUACUUCCAUUAUUUGGGGUCUGUAAGCCAUGAAGGACUUGUAUGCAAAUAAUAGCUACUGGUAGAGUGCUUUUAUUUACUUCGUGCCAAAAACUAUACUGAAAACUUACUGAAUACAGUAACUCAUUUAAAUCUUACAACAGCCUUUUGAGGCAGGGACUUCCUUAGAGAAAAUGCAAACAGAGAGGUUAGUCACUGGGGAAGAGUUAUUAAACUGCCAAGUAGGGUCAGUGGGUUUUGAACCCAUGAGGGCCCAACUCCAGAGUCCUUCUCUUAGCUACAAGUUGUGGGGCUCCGUUAAAUCAGCACUGACCAGAGAGCGAGCUGACUUUCCCUGGUGAUAGCACUUUCAAAGUGCUGAAAGCCUGUCUGGAGAGGACUCCGUGUCUUGCCCAGAACUCACUGCCUUCUAAAAAACCAGCUUCCAUGGUACAUUAUAACCCACGUUAAGAUACAGCGGCUGCAGCCACAAGGUAGAGGGUAAAAACAAAAGAGGAGGUUUAGCAAAACUUAUCCUCCACUAAUUCCCAAAGCAGCCAAAGAAAUUAAUGCUCCUCAUCCAAAGAGAAAGUGGAGGCAAAGAUAUGUGCCCAGUGUCAUUCCCAAUAUAAUAGCUUUCUAUCUAGCUGCCUUCUUAAAGUCAUCUGCUUUGGAGAAUGCCUUGGUCCUCAAAUGAACAAUCUUCCAGCUCCUGAGACGAGUGUCAGGAAGGCAAAAGGCCAGAGUGAGCUGAGCCCAGCAGAAAAUGAGAACAACUACAAAGCGGCUAUUUUUGUUAUGCUCAGAGCAAGGAAAACAACCAGAAGACAAGGGGUCCCCCAUCCAGAGGGGGUGGUGCGGUGUCGCCUGGUGACACCGUGUCAAAUUACAUCUCCUCCCCCAGUCCAUGUCUGUGUUCCAUCAAGGACGAGAUGCUUUCCGUAAAAGGGAGAAGGGACACCAGGAAGAGAAAACUGAACUCCAAGAUAGAUGCUACCACAGGCAGAGCACCUGCCCUCUCUAAAUAAGUCCAAGGCUCCUGGCCUGAUGCAUUAAAUCCCUGGCUCCUCCUGACAUGAAAUCUGGGACAGCCAGAAAUCCAGGGGUGAACUCAAGAAUCCUGCAGAGUAGGAGAUGUGGCAGCAAAUGGAAAGCAGUAAAAAUACAAGUCCUGCCAAUUGCAUCUCAGUAAACAGCAAGCGGGUUCCAGGCAAAGGCCAACAGUGCAUUCUUAACAUUGCUCAGUGCUGCAGUGAUUUCUCAGAAUCGUGUGGAUUCACUAAGAAUAAUUCACAGCGGGAACUGUUCAGCCCCAUUUCCACACUCGCUAAAGUCAGUGAUAACUUGUAACUGCUUCAGUUAUAAAAUCUGGAAAUCAGCCAGGUAUAAUGGGGCACACCUGUCGUCAUCCAUCAGCACUCUGGGAGGCUGAGGCUGGAAGAGCUCUAGCUCUUCUAGGCAAGUUCUAGCUCAGCCUGGGCAACUCUAGGACUUAGUGAGGCCCAGUCUCAAAAAAAAAUUUUUAAUUAUUUUUUAAGGUAGGGUUAGGGAUGUAUCUCAGUGCAAAGGCCCAGAGGUCAAUGCCCAGAACAGGAGUUUUUUUUAAAAAAGGAACUCAGUGAGGCAUUUCAACUACAUUUUUCAUAAAACUUUCACACAACCAUAUAAAGAAAUAUAAAGUAGAUAUGAAAUAAGUAGUCUAAGUAACCC